AUGAUGCUCACUGCCCUGCACUGCUACAGGAAGGGCCUGACCUUCGUCUCUGUGCACGACUGUUACUGGACCCACGCAGCCGAUGUCGCCGUCAUGAACCAGGUGUGCCGGGAGCAGUUUGUCCGCUUGCACAGUGAACCCAUCCUGGAGGACCUGUCCCAGUUCCUGGUCAGCCGGUUCUGUCCUAACCCCAGACCCCGGAAGCUCUCCCAGUGCUUGGAGGCUAGCCAGCUGG